rnacentral:rRNA from 1 species
AGUGAACGCUGGCGGUAGGCCUAACACAUGCAAGUCGAACGGCAGCACAGUAAGAGUUUGCUCUUACGGGUGGCGAGUGGCGGACGGGUGAGGAAUACAUCGGAAUCUACUUUUUCGUGGGGGAUAACGUAGGGAAACUUACGCUAAUACCGCAUACGACCUACGGCUGAAAGCAGGGGAUCUUCGGACCUUUCGCGAUUGAAUGAGCCGAUGUCGGAUUAGCUAGUUGGCGGGGUAAAGGCCCACCAAGGCGACGAUACGUAGCUGGUCUGAGAGGAUGAUCGGCCACACUGGAACUGAGACACGGUCCAGACUCCUACGGGAGGCAGCAGUGGGGAAUAUUGGGCAAUGGGCGCAAGCCUGAUCCAGCCAUACCGCGUGGGUGAAGAAGGCCUUCGGGUUGUAAAGCCCUUUUGUUGGGAAAGAAAAGCAGUAGGUUAAUACCCCGCUGUUCUGACGGUACCCAAAGAAUAAGCACCGGCUAACUUCGUG